GCCAAACAAAAACCCCUCACUCCAAAAACCCCUCCUUCUGUUCGUCUGCCCCAAUCAAACCCUAAUCGUCAUACAGAGCCAUGGCCAUCACGCGUUCCGGCAGAGGGCGCCCUUUUCCCGUCGACAACCAGCCCUACCCGGCCAGCCGUGGGCGUGGGCGUGGUCGUUGCUGUGGCCGUGUCCUUAUCCGUCACCGAUCACCCUCCCUACCCUUGAACCCAACCCCAAAUCAACAUUGACAGGAGGAGGAGGAGGAGCUCGUACGAAAUCAAUUAGUACCGGAGGAGCAGGAAUCAAUAAUGGAGGAGGAGGUGGAGUCCGUAGAGAGCCUUAUAGAAAGCUUACAGAAAGAAUAUCUGGUGGCUCUGGUUAUGGAAGCAAUCUCCAAUGACACUCAUUUGAUUGAGAGGGUUCGUAAUCUGGCUGAGGUUGAUCCUGUCAGGACAUGACCCCCUCUCACUUCCGAGCGUUGAAUUCUUUCUUUGGAAGAUAUGGAGAAAUUGAAAAUUGCACCAUCAAUAUCGAAUAGAUAUCUGGGAAAACAGAGAGCCGAGCCUACAUUACCUUUAAGCAGCGAAAGGCCGUGUGGGAGACAGCGAAGCAGCCAUCCCAUAGGAUUGGCGACAUCUAUGUCAGGUGCAUACAGCCCUCUCUUUGGCGCUCCCCAGCGCUUCCUGCUGGUUGCAAUCGCCCAAUUACAAUCCUCUAAUCUUCGAAUGGGAUGCAUAUUGAGAUGUCAAUAUAAGUUACCAGAAAAUCAGUACGCCACCACCUUCUCCACCACCGAGGAAGAAGAGAAGCCUCAGGGACUCACAACCUGGUUUCAUUAGUGAAGGAAGGACUGAUGAAAACCCCAACUAUACUAGAGAGCCUCUACAAGCACGCUGAGAUUGAUCCGACUCUUCGACAUAUUGCAGCUUACUGCGUUGGCCCCUAUUUCAUGACUAAUAGGACGAUUGUGAAUUCAGUAUUUGAAAGAUAUGGUGAGAAAGAACACUGCAUGUUUGAUUUUGAUUUUGAUGAAGAUGGUGUUCAAGUAUUAUUCAAGCACCAAAACAGUGCAUGGAAAGUGCUGAAAGAACCAUAUCUAAAAAUCGGUGAUUACCUCACAAGGUGCAUGCGACCACCAGGAAGCGGUGCCAUGCUUUUGUGGAUGGACUGUUGAACAAUGAGCACCAGCCACCCACAGCUUUAGGUGGGUGUCUUUAGGAAGUUACAUCUCGGAAUCCUUUCAAAUGCAUUGUUGACUGGUUGGAGGAUAGAAGCAAUAGGUGUACAGACAAUUAUUAGUACUGUUUUAUAUUAUUAAUCUUUUUUAGUAUCACAGGAGCCAAAUUAUACCCCACCACCAUUCUGCCUAGUUGUAUUAAAAAACAUAUAGACUGCUAGACUCCACAACAAUGUAAACCAAAAUCCCUGACUAUUUAUUAAUUCUCUAUUUGACUUUUUUGUAAUCCACUACUGUUCUUUACGUGUUUGCUUACUUUUAGUCAGUGACGAAA